GUCUAAGGCCAUAACUGCCCUCAAUGUACCCCAUCUCAUGUGAACUCAGAAGCUAGCAGGGUCAGCUCUGGAAGACUUGGAAGACUUCCCAGGAAUACUGAGUGAGGUAGGCC
rnacentral:rRNA from 14 species